UGGCCAUGCAUAAAGUGAGUCCUGUGGCUGAUGGAGGACUAAGACUAAAGAUCUUUGAAGGAGCACAGAGGGGUGGUUGGAAUGGAAGGAGGAUGAAUGGAUUGGUACACCUCCAAAGACUGCUUAAACUCAUGCUGGUGAACCAGAAGUCCAUAGACAAACAUCCUUAAGAGCCCCAAGAGACUUGCUGGUUUCUCACACUUUGAAGAAUAAGAUGAAUUGCUGGCUUACCUGAGGAAGCUCAGAGGAAGACUAUCUCCAGAAAACAGCAAUAAAAUACCAGAUAGAAAAUGUAGUUGCCUUUCUCUUUUUAUUUUUUGGCAUUGUGAGUAAAGCUCUUUCCUCUUUGCUUCAAAGAGCUGAGGAGUAAAGUAGUGUUUGAUUUGAUUCUUCUGCUCCUCUUUUCUAAAUCAGAAUGACACCUGUGUUGCCUUCCAUACCAACAGUCAAUUUAUCAUUAAAUACGUCAACUGCCGAAUACAAUUCAAAUAUUGGUUGAAGAAAACAAAAGCUCUUUAAAGAGAAACUGGAUUUUCAAAGGUAACUGCUGUAAGGCUGCAUUCCUUCUAAGGGUAGAAUCUAAGCUGCUGCUGACACAUCAGAUUAGAAAAAUAAUCAGCUGCAUCUUCAAAGAACAUUCUCGUCUUCUGCAUUUAAUUCUUUUGGGCCUACAUGUAAAUAAAGUGCUUAAUUCUUUAAAUCCAGAUGACCAGCUGAGUUUUACUUCUUUCACUUCUUUCACUUUUAAAGUCUCAAAAGCAAGGAGACCAUGGCUUUGUUUCAUACCUUGCUAUAGGACAAGAACUUCCACAGUUGAGACCUUAGACAUAGGACCUCCUCCUAGACAUUCUAUUGAAGACCUGAACAAUGAUCUGACCUCACUUAACGGCUCUGUGUCACCUUCUCUCCCCUCUUCUUCUCACAUUCUCCCCACAUACUUAUACUGCCAAGCUCUAUUUGCCUUUUACUGAGUGCAUUCUCCUCAGAUUUCCUUAAUGCAGCACACGACACAUGCUCACAUACUCACCUUGUGCCUUUGACUUUAGUCAGGAAAUGUGCCCUGCCCUUCUCUCCAAGGUUCUUGCCUCCACAGCAGAGGUUCCUCAGCUGCUCAGGAACAGAUGCUGAGCUGCCAUGAAUUAGAGGCAGGUGCAUUAAAGGAAAUUGAAAUUGACCCUUGUUUUCUCCACGCUCCAACAGUGAAAGAGCUUGGUGUGCUGCUGAGCUAGGCCUGGAGAAGGAGGAAGAACUGCCCAGAGAAAGUCAGCACAGAAAGCUGGGAGGGGAAGAAACCAAAGUUGUCCCAAGCUGAACUCUUGUCACCAAUUAACCACUUGUAUUUAAUUAUGCUCAUUUAAAAGACACAAAAAAAAAAAAAAAAAUCUCUGCAUUCAAAGGUGGAAAGGAUGAAAACCUGUAAAUAAAGGACUCUAAAAGGAACCAUUUGGGAUAUAUAACUUCAACUUCUGAUUAUUAUUAAUUUUUACAUUUU
ensembl:lncRNA